GUGCUUGCUUCAGCAGCACAUAUACUAAAACUGGAACGAUACAGAGAAGAUUAGCAUGGCCCCUGCACAAGGAUGACACGCAAAUUCGUGAAGCGUUCCAUAUUUUU
ensembl:snRNA U6 U6 spliceosomal RNA